rnacentral:rRNA from 1 species
UACGAAGGGGGCUAGCGUUGCUCGGAAUCACUGGGCGUAAAGCGCACGUAGGCGGCGCGGUAAGUCUGAUGUGAAAUCUCCCGGCUUAACUGGGAGGGGUCAUUGGAAACUGCCGAGCUUGAGGCGAUGAGAGGGGUGUAGAAUUCCCGGUGUAGUGGUGGAAUGCGUAGAUAUCGGAGGAAUACCAGUGGCGAAAGCGGCACCCUGGCAUUAGCCUGACGCUCAUGUGCGAAGGCGUGGGGAGCGAACGGG